ensembl:misc_RNA Y_RNA Y RNA
GGCUGGUCCGAUGGUAGUGGGUUAUCAGAACUUAUUAACAUUAGUGUCACUAAAGUUGGUAUUCAACCCCCUACUGCUAAAUUUGACUGGCUUAAA